GACGUAGGGCGCGAGCGUUGUCCGGAUUUAUUGGGCGUAAAGAGCUCGUAGGCGGCUUGUCGCGUCGACUGUGAAAUCCCGCGGCUCAACUGCGGGUCUGCAGUCGAUACGGGCAGGCUAGAGUUCGGUAGGGGAGACUGGAAUUCCUGGUGUAGCGGUGAAAUGCGUAGAUAUCAGGAGGAACACCGAUGGCGAAGGCAGGUCUCUGGGCUGACACUGACGCUCAUGCACGAAAGCGUGGGGAGCAAACAGG
rnacentral:rRNA from 1 species